rnacentral:tRNA from 1 species
GCCCCCGUAGCUCAGUGGAUAGAGCGAUCCCCUCCUAAGUCAAAUUGGGCAGCGGAUGCCGAAAGGCGCCGCCUGAAUGGAGUCAAAGUCGGUGAACCCUGACAGCGCAUGCAUGCACGUUUGCAGCGGCUGCUGGCAAUACCGAGCCAAGCCGGUUUCCUGCGAAGCCGGAAGGUGUAGAGACUAGACGGCUCCGGCCUUCCGACCUUGCCGUCAGGGCAGGGUCCAUGGCCAAGGUAUAGUCCAGACUACAAACAUCCGGUUACACGACGUUCAUGUAUCUGAUGGUGGCGAAAGCCAUAGUGGUAUGAAGGGAUAGGUCACACGUUCGAUCCGUGUCGGGGGCACCA